GACGAACGCUGGCGGCGUGCUUAACACAUGCCAGUCGAACGGAAAGGCCCUUCGGGGUACUCGAGUGGCGAACGGGUGAGUAACACGUGGGUGAUCUGCCCUGCACUUUGGGAUAAGCCUGGGAAACUGGGUCUAAUACCGAAUAGGACCGCGCGCUUCAUGGUGUGUGGUGGAAAGCUUUUGCGGUGUGGGAUGGGCCCGCGGCCUAUCAGCUUGUUGGUGGGGUAAUGGCCUACCAAGGCGACGACGGGUAGCCGGCCUGAGAGGGUGACCGGCCACACUGGGACUGAGAGACGGCCCAGACUCCUACGGGAGGCAGCAGUGGGGAAUAUUGCACAAUGGGCGCAAGCCUGAUGCAGCGACGCCGCGUGAGGGAUGACGGCCUUCGGGUUGUAAACCUCUUUCACCAGGGACGAAGCGCAAGUGACGGUACCUGGAGAAGAAGCACCGGCCAACUACGUG
rnacentral:rRNA from 1 species